ACGGCUCAUCUCUAGACGUGGUUAGCGAGAUUGCCUCGUAUUGUAGUUCAGGGAACAACAAUUGCCGCGUCCGCCUCCACGUGUAGGCAGGAUAUCCGGGUGCGAUCAAUAGGUGCUCUAGGAUAACCGAGUCAAACUGUAUGCAAAUGUUCUCCAUAAAAACUGAAUAUUCACAUCAGCGAAUAUCCUCCGCAAGAGAACGCUCAAGUGCAAUUAUACCACAUAAGUAAAAAGAAAAUAAGUGUGGCUUGUGGGUUUGUGGGUAGAGACGAAACAUUAGGGGCGCAGAACCAAGAAGUGAGUACAAAGAGAGAGCGAAGGACGCGAGGAGGAGAACUAAGAGAAGGAGGAAGGAGUGACGGACACCAGAGAGGUUUUUGCGUGAUAGCUCUUCGUCCAUCGCCUGUCUGGGAGGAGCAAGAAAUAAGGUGGUGAUGACUGAUGUUUAGGAUCUGUUUGCCUGUCUUCUGUCUGCGAGGAACUUGGAGAUAACGCAGUGCUGUCUGAUGGUACUAGUGGUGGGCGGUAAUCCCAGAGCCUGACAGAUGACUAGCGGUGAAGCGUGUCCUAUUUACGUGACCACAGGUAUGAGGGGAGCACCUUCGCCCCUCCGUCAGAAAAGUGCGGACGCUCAUGAAGUGUCGUGAGUCAUGGACAAGAGGACUGAAAAAGACAUGCUUCUCCUCGGAAAGAGCCUCGACUUGUCAAAACUCCUGGUCUGGCAGUGCUGGUGGUGACACGAAGGAGACGACGCUGCGCUGCACUUAGCACUUUUUUGAAGACUGACACAUGUAGGAUAGGAAAAGAAAAGGACAAGUAAAAGAGUUGGGAGGGACUGGAAAAGGAUUAAUGACUUGGAGAACAGUGCAGGGCGUGUAUAAAGAUGUGUUGUUUAUGGUGAGGCAGAUGUGAUAAUAUGAAGGAAUUGAUCAGUUGAAAAGUAUAUGAAAUAGUGAUGGAGAUUUAUAUACUAGUAAUGACAAAAAGAAAGAAUGGAUAGUAAAUAUAGAAUAAUGAAAAGGAUUAAUGGCGUUGAUUAAAAGAA